CACAACCAAUCUGUAUAUCUAGUUCCAGAGGACCUGAUGAAAGUAAUUUUUUUUUUAAGAAAGAAAAUAAGAUAACCUCCAGGUGAAUACAAAGAUCAGGGAGAAACAGCAGGGGAAACUGAGCCAUCCCAAGUCCUGCUCCUGAUAGUGACAUAUUAAGUACAUUAUGGAUACAUAGGAUACAUAUGGAUACAUAGAACAGAGAACACAGAAGCCAUUGUCUUGGACCAUGAGAACAAGGACCACAAGCCCAGGAAGGGGACUGUGGAGCAGUGAAUAAAAGGGAGUCAAGAGCUCUGACUGCAAGAGCAGAGCACCUACCUCUCAGAGUUGAUGCCUUACCUCCUUUGAGCCACCCUUUUGUUUGCAUGGCAGCUUUGGUUUAGCGAUUGCUUUUGUGUGCUGCUUCUACCCUUAUUACUUUGCUGCAUCCAUUCAGCAUUCACUCUCGUCUCCCUGCCUUGAGGGAUGGCCUCCAUCACCAACACUAGCUAUGGUUGAGCAAGUCUACCCAAUGGCAAUUCUUCCCAUUUCUGUUCUCCACCCAAUACUAUGCCUUUCACAUUCACAUUGUCAGCAUGGGUCCCAUUGGUAUGCUUUUGACUGACAGUCUCACUUUAAAGGUGGAGGUAGGCUGGGGGUGGUUUAUCUUUUCUUCUUAGUCUCUGAAAUGCCAGAAUUGUGCCUUUUGCUCUGCAGCACCAGAUGCCACCUUAGAUGCCCUGAUUUGUGACCGUAUCUCACUCACUAAGUAUCAUACCACCACCUUCAGGCCUCUUAUGCUUAGCUACAUUUAGGUGCCUGCCACAUGGUGGUAUAACAACUUACAAAAGUAUUUUGACCGAUACAUCUGAACUAGAACCUAGUACCUACUUCAUAUCCAUUCCUUCUGGACAUUUCUCUUUGGCUGUAUCUUGUUUGUUUUGGGGUAGAGUCUUACCGUGUAUCCCUGGCUGGCUUCAGAGUCACAAACUUCUUGCCUUAGUCCCCCAAGUGUUUAAUAAUAAAAUUUGUAUUUUAUAACUGGUUGCAUAGCAACUUACCACCAGUACUACAUUUCCCACUGCUCCUUGCUAACUGUACUCAUGUGUAAGUUAUGGCAGGAAUGUGUAUCAUUUCCAGGUCAUGUUCUUUAUGUGGAUGCAUGUGUUUACUGUAUGCAUGUGCAUGCAGAUACCUGUGCGUAUGUGUGAGCAUACACAGAGGUCAAAGAGUCAUGUUGUCUUCAGUUGCUCUCUACAUUAUCUCUUGAGACAAGGUCUCCCACUGAACCUAGCACUCACAGUUGACUGGACUAGCCAGCCAGGUAAGUCCAGGAAUCUGCCUGUUGCCACCCAACCCUGCACUGGGGUUUGGCUUUUUUUUUUUUU
rnacentral:sRNA from 1 species